GUGCUCGCUUCGGCAGCACAUAUACUAAAAUUAGAACGAUACAGAGAAGAUUAGCAUCGCCCCUGCACAAGGAUGACAUGCAAAUUCAUGAAGCAUUCCAUAUUUUU
ensembl:snRNA U6 U6 spliceosomal RNA